ensembl:lncRNA
GUGUUUUCCCUUUUCCUUAAGCAGCCCCAUUUGUUUCAGCCUCAGGGCCUUUUCAGCAGCUGCUCACUCCACCUGGAGCUCUUCUCCAGAUGGAAGCUGCUUUUGCAAUAUAAUCUCCGAGACUCUGGCUGCCCAGCUCCUCCAUAAUAACCAGGCAUGGAUGAGACAGAGAUUUUACAACCCUCACUGGAAUAUCCUGCUGCCUGAAAAAGCACCACGGACCUGGAGUCUUGAAACCAGAGGCAGCCCGAAUCCAGCCACUGUCCCUGCUCCUCAGCAGGGUUGAUUAAUUCAGGUACAGGCAUCUGCAUGAAAGAGAACCCAAACUGACAAGGACGUGGAGCAAAGCAAGUCACACACAGCAGGCUGUCUCCUGCUUACACACCCACGAGACAGCCUUGCACAUGUGCACCAGCAUACAAACAAGGAUGCUUCCAGUCAUGCUGUUGGCCCCAAAUCAGAAACAAUCCAGUGCCCAUUCACA